GUGUUCUAUUGCGAUGAUCACUUGCCCUCCACCUUUGGCCUUCAAGUCUCGUCUUCUGUAAUCCUGACAUUAAGGGAGAUCGUGCAUGGAUCACCUGUGGCCUUGUGGGCAGACCGGAUUGGUUCGUAGUCAGCAUUGAUUGUUCUUACGUUCCUUAUUUCACGAUAUCUCCAUAAGGUGUUUCAGAUACCUAUGACCUUACUGGUGUGCUGACCAUAAGGUAGCUGCCACGUAGCUCCUGCAUGGGCCCCACUCGUCCAAGAUCCGGUGUUCCAGUCCUCUCUCCCGUUCUUCAAACCUUGUUCAAGCAAGGUUCUCAACGUACGCAUCUGGUGCAACCCGAAACUGCCUGCAGUAUUCGCACCACUAGCGUUGACGUCCGUCCACCCACGUCGCACUUGCUUACUGGCGCAGACAUUCUUCCUGGAUAACAUCCUCUUCGUGUUGCCUCCUCUUUGCAAUGUGGCCGAGUCACCUGAACCGGGAACUACGAACCAGGAACCACGGACAACAUUUAUCGUCGGCGAUUCCUCAAGGACCACCGAAAGAGCCAUUGCUGUGGAGCGGCGUAAAACUGGC